rnacentral:lncRNA from 1 species
AAUAGGAUCAUCCAUGUAAAGUGCUUAGUACAGUGACUGGCACAUUUUAAGAGCUCAAUAAAUGGCAGCUACCACAAUGGUUUUCACUGACUGGAGAGUACCCUGUAAUCGAAAGUAGGAGGGAGGUGCAUGCACGGAAGAGUGACUGAGAGAAGAAGCAAGACUGUAAUCUUGGACUUCUAACUUCCACAACUGUGAGAAAACAAAUUUCUGUUACUUAAGCAACGUGGCUGUGGUGUUUUGUUAUGCCAGCCUU